GGAUGUGGACAGUGGUCCCUGCCAGGCCGUUUCCUUCCCAGCCAGGCAUCAAAGGCCUCAGCUUCAGGUGUGAGGGGACCAUGUGCGGAGCUGGAGGAGGGGGCGGGACAGCAGGCCUCAAGGGGGACAGUGACCGGCCUCUCCGGUGUUCCCUCCAAAGGGAAGGGCGCAGCCCCGCACAUGGAUUUCUUGACUGUGCUGGGGGAAACAACAGAGGGCUCCCCCCCCGGCCUGGGGCCCAUGUGCCAGCCCCCCUCUCCUCCGGGUCCUGCACGCCAUUCAUCGUGUUCCCUCAUCUGCGCUAACGAGGACCUCUGAAAAAUGGCUGCUAUGGUCAUGAUCUAUGGAACUUGCUGUAGAGAGCAAUUAAAUACGGUUAACGGCCGGCUUCCACGAACACAUUAAAAGGCCUACAGGCUGCGAUUUAUGAAGGCAGUUGUGCUGCCUCAUUUGUAUCCAGUGCAUGUCUGGUUUCUGCUCAGGAGGUCCGGCCCAGGAGGGACCACCCUCCAGGCUUCCUCCAGCAUCACUCCCGUCACCAGUCCUCCCGAAACCGUGUUAGCAGGGCUUGGUCGUCCUCACUGCCUCCCUGAACGUCCACAGGAGGCCUGCUGGCUGCUAUCAUCGUGGAAAGGCACGUGCUACCCCCAGAGGAACUUAGAUGUCAUACUGGGGCUGGUUCUCACACGUGGUGUAAAGUGACUUGAUGACAAGCUCAAGGUGAAGUGCUGUGGGCUCACUGUCCUCCACUCUGCUGAUGUCUCUGUGUAAUCAGCACACGACCCCAGCUCAAGGAUGGGGAGGGGUCUCUAUCCCCAGUGGCCAGCAAGCUGGGCAGAGUCAUGCCCCAUUCAUCCAGCAACCUUCCCCACUGUGAGACAGGAGGAAGAUCAAGCCCCUGAGAAGCCCAAACAAGAACUAAGAGCAUGCAACCUACUCAGGAGUGAGCAACUAGACAGGNCCCCCCCCCCCCCCCCCCCCCCCCCCCCGCCCGCCACUGGCCGACUCCACCUACUGACGUCACGCUGGCCCAGGGGCAUGCUUCCAUCAGCAGUGGGGACUGCAGACAAUAGCACCAGUGGAUUUAAAACGUGUCUGUAGCCCCUGACGCAACUCUCUUCAAGGUGAUUGGAUGAAUAAGAUGUCGCUUUAUUCUUCAAAUUGAAAGACUGCCAGCAUCAAUCUUGGCAUAGAUUAAUAAACAUUUGGGGGGCUCACCUUAAGUAUUCAGGUAUUUAUAACAUCAUGAUGUUACAAGGGCACAGGACAUUUCUCAUUGUCCAUCGCAUUCCCGUAGAGGUCUUGCCUUUCUGGGAACAUUGCUACCAUCAGUUCAUCUUCCUGUAGCUCAUCCUCCAUCUCGACACCAGGUCUUGGUUCUUCCUCGCACAUGUUGCUCUUGACCAUGUGAUCUAAUGGGUGUCCCAAGUCUCUCUUAAGCCACUCAUCCUCUUUAUUUAUUUAUUUUUUUAAACGCAUGUAUCAGUAUCUGAAAAUACCCCGUCUCCUCUCUGGUUUGCUUGUUCCUGUCCUGUCUCCUACUUCCUCUGUAACUGAAACUGGAGGAGGGAGAGCAGGGCACGUUUGUGUCCUUCACUGAAUCACUCCCCACAGCAUGACAUGUGCCUGGAAAGCAGCAGCUGCACCAUUUGUCAAGUGAAUACCCAGAGAGAGGAGUGGGGGAGAACUUGAUUUCCUUAACAGAAACUCCGAGAACAUGUUUUUGGAUGCACUGACCACAUACAUCCACACCUUCUUGUCAUGUUGGCUCCUGGGCCUUUCCCUCCCUUUCUCGAUUCUGAAUGUGGCCCCCUUUGCAGACAUGGCUGAGUUCAAAUCUUCUGGUACAGUUGAGCAUUUGCCUGCCAUCCUUCCUCAUCCAUUUCUUUUAUUUACCCUGGAAGUAGCAUAAAGUCCCUCCAUAGACACCUCUGGGAGUAUUGGAGGUAACUGAUUAUGGAAAGAGGAGGUAUUUAGUUGGGGGAACAUCACAUUGACAGGCUCAGGAAGCAGCACCUGGGGAAGUACAUAGGCAGCUGGCCUGUUUCCUGAAUGUUCCAGGAAUUUUCCUACUAUGGAGAAAAUGGGGAGAGGGGAAGAGGAUUCUUUUCAUCUAUUUUCAGACAGUCUUGGCACAAGUGUGUGAAAAACAUCAUCCAUGUAGUUCCAUCGGGCUUGUAGUUGUUGUAAAUGUACCUUAAAUUCCUAAAUGCAUCUUAAACUGCAUUCUGUCUUUCCCCAGUGCUGUCAAAGGCUUUGAUUUCUGAGACUACUAGCCGGACACAAGAUGUUACAAAUGUUGCUGACUGUUUUUGUCUUUAUUGGAAAAGUUUUACAUGUGUAUACUUUACAGAGGAGUGUUGGGAAAAUGUUCAAGGAGAAUUUGUUUUCCUUCAGUCUUCAAAGGGGUAAUAUUUUUUAAUGGAAGUAUAACUUACUCAGAGUAGCAGACAAUUCUUUGAAAACUCUGAGAUUUGACUCUGAGAUCUGAAGGUGGUCUGAGCAGAAAGAGCUUCAAAGCCAUCAAAUCCAUAUCCAUUGGUGGGAUAACAGGUUUCAGCCCCAUUGUGUUUGAAUCAGAACUUAUUACUUUUGAUACAGAUUAACUAUGGGUCACUCUUUCUCUCUGGUUUUUACGUGUAUCCUGGGAAACCUGGCCUUUUGCCAAAGAGCCGGUCUUUGACAUAAAUGCUCUUCUUCCAACAAGCCGAAAGCCUUUAUGUACUUACUCUGCAGAAGGACCAAGAAUCCCAUCCUUACAUUGGGGGGCGGGGCAGGGAGAGGGGUAGGGCAAUUGGGGAAUAAUUGAAGGGCUUCGCUGAAGGAGGAGGAAGAGCCACACUGCAUGGGAGUCAGUAUGCUUGAGGCAUUAGACUGGACCUUCUGCAUGUGGGAUCUCUUUGUUCGAUCACUUGGAUAAUCAGCACAUAGCAAUUCUAAAUAGAUGCUUCACCAUUUAUUUCUGUCUUUUGGGAUGGAGUUUCAUUGCAAUGUGUAAUACUUUGAAAAUUACUUAAUCUUUCCUUUAAUGGCUGAGGUGUAUCUUUAAAAUUAUGUUUGCCUCAGUUAUUAUUCAGAGAGAAGGAAAGAAGUGACCUGAGAUCUAAGAUGUUGCCUUUAGAAUCAGCUCCUGCCCCUGCCUCAUCCUGAAUUACUUAGAUUCAGAAAGGGGUUGUACAUGCAUGAGAGCUAGGGGAUGGGUUUUACCUAAUUAGGUGCAGUCUAAGGGCUGAUUUAUAUAUGCAUUCACUUAUUUAUAUUAUACGUAUGUGUGUAUGUCUAUCUCUCUAUGUAAUCACAAAGUAGAAGUACACGCUGAUCUGGAAGGUGACAGGAAGUUGUACCCGUGGUGACUGAUGUACAAGAAAGGGCUGAACAUCUGAUCUGGACAUGGUCCCUAAGCUACCAUCUUCCCACUGCCCACCCCCACCCCCAGUGCCACAGGGAAAGGCAGUAAUUUCUGCAUAUUGAAACUGAGCUCAUGUCAGUAUUUUUCAUGUGUGCUUGACAAGACAGCCAUUCUUUGACAUGGCUCCUUCAGGUAGCUAGAAGUUUCCACAAUCUAGCUUCUUUCUAUUGCUUUCUGAUUAAAGGUACAGGAGUCUCUUGGAAUAGAAGCAUAGAAUUGCAAAAUCUAGCAUUGACUCACAACUUGGAGUGUUUUUCUUGAACUCUGAAAAUAAAAGGAUAACCCUUGGGUGAAUUCAAUGUGAAAAAGAAGACUAAAGGUACGAAAGCAAGGUACUUAUAUUCCGAUUGAUUUUAUAUUUACUAAUAACCAAAUGUGUUCAAAUAUGUGUGUUUUAUUGGCCCGUGUGUGAUGCAGGGCAGAGGCACUGGCCUGAUUGUCGGAAAGCUCAAACUGUCAGUCCUGGGUUUGGUACUUUGUGUGUGGAUAUGGCAGAGUUUUUAAGAAUGUUUCACCAGAUUCAUCAUUUAUUCAUUCAUUCAGCAAGCAAUAAUCACUUCAAGAGAUGAAAUAUAGUAAUUUUAUCCCUAAUGGUUGUAAAAUCUAGAUGCAAAUUUGUAUUGAUUGAUUAAAAAUAUGUAUGGGAGUUCCCAUUGUGGUGCAGCAGAAAUGGAUCUGACUAGCAUCUAUGCGGAUGCAGGUUCCAUCCCUGGCCUUGCUCAGUGGGUCGGGGAUCUAGCGUCGCCAUGAGCUGUGGUGUAGGUUGUAGACACGGCUUGGAUUCUGUGUUGCUGUGACUAUAGUGUAGGCCAGCGGCUAUAGCUCCAAUUUGACCCCUAGCCUGGGAACUUCCAACUAGGGCUGUGGGUGUAGCCCUAAAGAGAGAAAAAAAAAUGUAUGCAUGCCAAUCCAAAGUUCCCAGAGAUUGGCACAUGCACACUGAGGUAUGGAAGGGUGAGCUAGUGGAGACUGCUGUAUAGCACAAGGAACUCUACCCAAUAUUCUGUAAUCAUCCAUGUGGGAAAAGAAUCUGAAAGAGAAUGGAUGUGUGUAUAUGUAUGACUGAAUCACUUUGUUGUCCAGCAGAAAUUAUCACAAUGUAAAUCAACUAUACUUCAACAAAACUUUAAAAAUGCAAAAAAAAAUUAAAAGAUAUAUGUACGUGGUGAGACGAUACAAAGGUUGGUGAAAUGUACAGACCUGAUCUCACCGGGAGAUAAACCCGAGGCAACCCUUGUGAUGGGCUGUGCUUUCAGUGGGAGGGUGACUUCUGUGGACAUAUGUGUGGUGCACGGAGCAGGUGGUCUAUUCCCUGCAGGAUUCAGGACAAUCUCAGAAGAGAUGAUGUCGUUGAGACCGUCUUUAAAGAGAAGUCCAGUCAGGAUCAGGGAAGCCCAUGUGAAAAGUCUCAGAGACAGUGCAGCUUGACUUGUUCUGGGAACAGAACCAUUUUGGAAUGACUAGAACACAGGGAGUGAAGAGAUUUGCAGCAGGAGAUAAUUAUGACUUAAAUUCAUUGGGCAGUUUUGUGUUAAACAGAAGUUUGUGUUAAACUUCUCCGGAUGAUGCUUUAGUGUAAACUCACUCAUCCCACCCCUCAAACCUAGAAGGAGCCACUGUCCUGUCACUGCUGGAUUUUAUCAUGAUGGAGCUGGGCUCACGCUGAGAUGGGGCAUGGUCCCAAGCUGGCAGGUGUGGGGAGCAGUGUUGGCAGAUAGCCUGUUUAUUAAACACUGACUAUUCUGGACAGAAGAGACCCAGCAGUCUCAUCUGUAGGCUAUGCGUAUUAGACUUUACUCUGUCUAUUUUAGAAAACCCUCAACAGGCUUUCAGUAUUUGGAUUAGGACGAUAAGUGGGAGGAAGUGGGGUUUCGACUUCAGAGAGACCAUUUAGGAAACAUGUUCACCGAUCAAGCCAAGAAAUGAUGGACUCUUCCAAAGGAAGUGCCACCAGGUGUGAAGGAAGGCUGGAAAAUAGUUUUGAUAGCAUGAUGGAUUUCAUGUGUGUGGGAAGUAAAAAGCCCCAAAGAAGUGGCAGGAGGGGGCAGGUGAGCAAGACUGGAAGAACAACACCAGAGCAGAUGCCCAUAAAUGCACCCAGGUCAGGGCCCUAUGAGCCACUUGGUAAAAUCAGGACUAAAAAUUAAAAUUUAUGGAGUUCCCAUUGUGGCUCAGUGGUUAGUGAACCUGACUAGCAUCCAUGAGCACACAGGUUCAAUUCCUGGCCUCACUCAGUGGGUUAAGGAUCCAGAGUUGCCAUGAGCUGUGGGGUGGGUCACUGAUGUGGCUUGGAUCCACCGUUUCUGUGGAUCUGGUGUAGGCUGGUGGCUCUGGCUACAGCUCCAAUUGGACCCCUAAGCUGGGACCUCCAUAUGCUGCGGAUGUGGCCCUAAAAAAAAAAAAAA
rnacentral:lncRNA from 1 species